GUCAAGGACUAAUCUCCGUGCCAGCAGCGGCGGUAGGUCCAUACGUAGGUGGCAAGCGUUAUCGGGAUUUAUUGGGCGUAAAGGGAGCGCAGGCGGUUGAUUAGCUCUGAUGGGAAAACUUUCGGCUUAACCGAAGAAGUGCAUCAGAAACCGGGCGACUUGAGUGCAGAAGAGGACAGUGGAACUCCAUGUGUAGCGGUGGAAUGUGUAGAUAUAUGGAAGAACACCUGUGGAGUUCCAAGGCGGCUGUGUGGUAUGCAACAGACGCUGAGGCUCUUGAAAGCAUGUGUAGUUCAAACAUGAUUAGAUACCCUGGUAGUACAUGCAGUAACCGAUGAGUGUUAGGUGUUGAAGUGUUUCCGUCUUUCAGUACCCGUAGUUAGUGCAUUAAACAGUCCGCCUGGGGAGUACGACCGCAAGGUUGAAAUUCAAAGGAAUUCACGAGGUCCCGCACAAGCGGUGGAGCAUGUGGUUUAAUUGGAAGCUACGAGAAGAACCUUACCAGGUCUUGACAUCUUGCCGCUACCCUUAGAGAUAAGGCGUUCCCUUCGGGGAUGCAAUGACACGGUGGUGCAUGGUCGUCGUCAGCUCGUGUCGUGAGAUGUUGGGGUAAGUCCCGCAAACCGAGCGCAACCCUUGUUACGCCUAGUAUGCCAGCAUUAAGUUGGGCACUCUAGUGAGACUGCCGGUGACAACCCGGAGGAAGGUCGGGAUGACGUCAGAUCAUCAUGCCCCUUAUGACCUGGGCUACACACGUGCUACAAUGGACGGUACAACGAGUUGCAAACUCGCGAGACGCAAGCUAAUCUUUUACUAAACCGUUAUCAGUUCGGACUGUAGGCUGCAACUCGCCUACACGAAGUCGGAAUCGCUAGUAAUCGCGGAUCAGCAUGCCGCGGUGAAUACGUUCCCGGGCCUUGUACACACC
rnacentral:rRNA from 2 species